GACGAACGCUGGCGGCGUGCCUAAUACAUGCAAGUCGAACGCAGUUGCGAACGGGUGAGUAACGCGUAGGUAACUGCCUCAUAGCGGGGGAUAACUAUUGGCAACGAUAUCCAACACCCCAUCCUUUGAGAUGGACCUGCGUUGUAUGAGGUAGUUGGUGAGGUAAAGGCUCAACAAGGCGACGAUACAUAGCCGAGCUGGGAGGGUGGUCGGCCACAAUGGGAAUGAGGAACGGGCCAGGCGCCGUAGGGAGGGAGCAGUAGGGAAACUUCGGGAAUGGAGGGAAGUCUGACCGAGCAACGCCGCGUGAGUGGAGAAGGUUUUCGGAUCGGAAAGCUCUGUUGUUAGAGAAGCGGUAACUAACCAGAAAGGGACGGCUAACUACGUGCCAGCAGCCGCGGUAAUAC
rnacentral:rRNA from 1 species